ensembl:lncRNA
AAAAAAAAAAAAAAAAUGGCUUAUAGAGGUUAUGUUACAGACAUAAAGGGAGAUUACUUGUUAAUUAAUAGCCUGAUCCCGAACGAAACAAAUAAUGAAUAUAAAAUUACAUUAUUUAAAAUGAAUCAAAACAAGGAAGAAUUUAAAAAGUACGACAUUAUAAAUACAAUUACUUCAGAAAAGUUUACAAAGUCGUAUAUAGAAAAUGGUUCUAAUUUAGUUGAACUUACAGAAGGUUCUUUUUAUAUAUAUUAUACAGAAAAUAAAGAAAAAAAGUGCAUAUUAAAUUUAAGUAGUUAUUAUGCGAUAGAUUUUAUAUAUUUUAAAAAAUAUAUUAUUUUUAUUAGAAAAGAUGAUUGUCGUGUUUUUCAAUAUUAUAACAAUUGCAAAAGUAAUGUUACGAUAAAAAUGAAUGAAAAUGUUUUGAAAAUUAACUUUUGUUAUUGUAGUAAAAAUAUAUUAUAUUUAACUACUAAUAAAAGGUUAUAUUUUUUAAAAUUAUGCUAUUCAAAAGAUAAAACAAUAAAGUUAAAAAACACAAAUAUGAGUUUACCAUACAAUGGCAAUAUGGAAGAAUAUAUUUAUUAUUCUCAUAAAAAUCCAUUAUAUAAAAUAAAAAAAAAAUAUGAAGAAGUAAUUUAUGUUUGUAGUUAUAUUGAUAAUAAAGUGGUUAUACAUAAAUUAGUAAAAGCAGAAAAAAAUACUAAAAGAAAAAAAAGUACAUUUAAUUUAGUAGUGGAUAAAUUAAAUAAUGAAUCAGUUACUGGAGGCUUUUUUUUUACAGUUAGUUCAGAUGUGAAUAAGAUAGAGCACAUAAAUCAAGAGGGUACAUCUACUUUUGUAAAUACUAAUGUAAUUGGUACUAGAGUAAAAAUAGAUGAUGUAAUUGCUGGUGCUGGUACUGAGGUCAGUACAGCCGAAUCAACUAACCACAACUUAAACGUUAAUUCAUGUGACAAUAUCAACGACGCGUUAAUAAUGUCAGAAUACACAAAUGGUAAUUUAGAUUAUAACAUGCUUAAAAAGGAAAGCAUUGUAACGUUAUCUUAUAAUAAUGAUGAAAAUGUAAAAGGUGAUAGUAGUAUUGCCCCAAAUAUGAUUAAUGGAGAUACUGAAAUAAAAAAAGAAAUAGAAUUAAAAAAAGAUAAUGAAAAUAAAGAUAAGAAUAAGGAAUAUUAUAGUGUUAAAAAGUUGUAUUUGUUAAUUUUUAGUAAUACUGGACAUAUAUUAAUAUAUUUUAUUGAUUAUUUGGAUAUAGAAAAUUUUAAAUAUGGACUUUUACAUACUAAAGCUAAUCCAAUUAUAUACAUCCCAUUAGCUUCUAAAGCAUUAUAUAUAAGUAACAUGUCUGAUGUUUUUAUAAAAAGAGUAAUAAGACAAAAAAAUGUUAUUUUCAAAACAACUAAAUCUUCAAUAAAUUAUAAUAAAUAUGUUGAACAUAUACAAAAAAAAGAACAAUUUGUUCAUAAUAAUUUAUUUAUUGAUGUAUUUUUAGUUAAAGAACAAACAGCAAAAAUGUUUACCAUACAAAUAACUCAUGACUUAUUGAAUCAAACGAAUAAUAAUAAAAAUGUAGUAACAUCUUUAAAUGUAAUAGCAGCAGAUAAUAAGUUUUUUGCUAUUAAAAAAGAUUUAGAUCUUUCUCAGAAAAAGCAAUUAAUAAGUCAUAUUGUGAAUAAUUCUAAAUUUUCAUGUUACUCAGAUAGCGAUUCUUUUAUUGAUAGUGACAUCUCAUGGGACACUGCAAGUCUAACUAAUUAUAACACUUCUUGUAGUGAUAGUGAAAGUAAUGGAUGUAUUAAUAAUCCUUGUACCUAUAGUGAUGACAGAAAGGAAAAUAUUAAAAUGGGUGAAGAAGUUGCAGUUACAGUAAUGGAUGUAAAAACGGGUUCAGUGGAAGCAGGAGGUAAACCAACUACAAAUAACGAAUAUGAUUAUGUUAGUAAAUUGGAUAAAACGGGUGGACAUAACACACAUAACGAACAAAUAAACAAAACCGUCAAUAGUGAUAGUGAUAGUGAUAGUGAUAGUAAUAGUGAUAGUAAUAGUAAUAGUAAUAGUAACAGUAUUAGUAAUAAUAUGGCUGAAGAAAAUGAAAAUAUAAAAUCGAGCAUAAAAACAAAGAAUUAUAAAGAGAACAACAUUAAAUGUAAAAAAGAACCAAAUGGAAAUACAGAAAUAAAUAAAAAGAAUAUGCAACAAAAUCACAUAGAUGUAGAUAUAAAAAAAUGUUUAUCAAAAAAUAAAACUUCAUAUCAUGCAUCAAAUGCUAAUAAUGCUAGCGACGAUUCAUGUAAUUCUACACAGUUGUCAAAUGAUAGAAACAGAAUGAGUGUAACAACAACCUGUAGUAAUAUAAGCACUGAAGACGAUGGGUUGAGAAGCACAACAAACUAUAAGACAGAAGUAGAAACAUGCAACAGUGUGAAGGUGGAGGAACAGGUAAGGGAAAAUUCUAUUGAGAGGGAUAGAUAUAAGGUGGAAGACAUAAAAAUAAUAACGAAUAUAAAAAAAGAGGACACAAAAAGGGAGGACACAAAAAGGGAGGACACAAAAAGGGAGGACACAAAAAAAGAGGACCUAAAAAAAGAGGACCUAAAAAAAGAGAACACAAAAAAAGAGGACCUAAAAAAAGAGGACCUAAAAAAAGAGAACACAAAAAAAGAGAACACAAAAAAAGAGAACACAAAAAAAGAGAACANNNNNNNNNNCACAAAAAAAGAGAACACAAAAAAAGAGAACACAAAAAAAGAGAACAUAAAAAAAGAGAACAUAAAAAAAGAGGACCUAAAAAAAGAGGACCUAAAAAAAGAGAACAUAAAAAAAGAGGACCUAAAAAAAGAGGACCUAAAAAAAGAAGAUGUGAAACAGAAAAGUAAGAAGGAAGCAGUGAAACGAGAAAGUGUAGAAGAGGAACAGGAGAAAGCAAUUAAGGAGGAUAUAAAACAAACAAUAAAAGAAAAGAAACAAGCGAAAAAACUGGAAGAAAAAAAAAAACAGGACGAAGAAGCUGAAAAAAAUAAACAAGCAAGGGAGUUAAAAAAAAAGCAGGAAAAGGUAGAACAGGAAGCAAAAUCAGAAAGAGAAGCAAAAGAAAGUGAUGAAAUAAAAAAACAAAAAAAAACAAAAAAAAGAAAACAUGAAAUAAUAGAAAUAGAGGAAAUAGAGGAAAAUUUAAUAAACAUGAACAGAGAUGGUGAAACAAAAAAGAACAAAACAAAUGAAGUUAUAUUAUUAAACGAUAAAAAAAAUAUAAAUAUAAAUUAUAUAACUUACGAUAUGCAGGACUUACCUAAAUUUAAUGACUCUGUAUAUAAUGAUUUUGUACAAGAUAUCAACAUAAAUAACAACGAAAUGAAUAACCACAUCAAUGAAAAUGAUAUACAAGAAAAUUUUAUUACAUUAUCUUCUACUAUUAAACUUAAUUUAUCAUUAAAAAAUUUUGCAUCAUUAUGCAAUAUAAUACCACAAGGUAAUUACAAAUUAAUUAAAGAUACGAUUAUAAAUUUAGGUAAGAAAUAUUCUAUUAAUUUACUAGAAUUCAUGUUAUUUGUAAUAGAACGUAAGAAAUUUUUUAUAUGUAGGUUUAUUAAUUGGAUAAAGUGUAUAUUUGCAGUAUAUAGGGACACACUCCGAAAAAUGAAAUAUCGUUACAUAAUAACAAAAAUGUCACAUAUAGAGCAAAUACAUUUACAUAACGAAUAUAUUACAAAAAUUAACAUAAAUAAACUGAAUGUCACUGUUAAUAACAUCAGAAAUAAUAUAAUUCUUGAAAAAAUAAAACCUAUAAAUUAUAAAGAUGGAUCUAUAAAGAAGUAAAUAUUAUUUUUUUUUUUUUUUUUUUUUUUUUCUUUUGCAAACAAAAAUUUGUAAACAUAGGAUUAAUCAUAAUUUUUUUUUUUUUUUUAAACUUGUAAAAAUUCGCAAAAAUAGUGACAUCAUAUUUUGUUAUCCAUUAUAUUAAAGAAAAAAAUAAAAAAAAAUAAAAAAAAAUUAAACCA